CCGUGAGGGAAAGAUGAAAAGGACUUUGAAAAGAGAGUUAAAAAGUACGUGAAACCGUUGAAAGGGAAGCGAAUGGAGUUAGCAAUUCGCCCUGCUAGAUUCAGUUGUUCGUGCCUCGCGGCGUGCGCGCUCUCGAUCCGCAUGGACGAGACGUGUACGGAUGCGGUGUGCGGGCGGCGCAUUUCUGGCGAGCGAGCGUCAGCGUCGGUUGUCGAUGGGCGACAAGGACGUGAGGAAGGUAGACUGGCCUCACGGCCGGUUGUUAUAGCCUCUUGUUCGUAUAGCCCGAUGGCGACCGUGGCUCUGCGACGCGUGCCUGGCUGGUGACUCGUACGAUCGGUCCGGCAUGUCGACCGUGGCGGACGGCACGCCUGUGCGCUCAAACUGCUGCCGGUCGAUCGCAUGAUGUUCACACACUACGCGUCUAGGAUGCUGACGGCCAUACGGCUCCAUCCGACCCGUCUUGAAACACGGACCAAGGAGUCUAACAUGUGCGCAAGUCUCCGGGUGAUCGAAACCUGUGGGCACAAUGAAAGUAAAGAUCGUCUUAGACGAUUGAGGUGAGAAGCGAACGCCUCGGUGUUCGCGGCAUCAUCGACCGACCUAUUCUGCUCUCAGAAAGGUUUGAGUAAGAGCGUAUCUGUUGGGACCCGAAAGAUGGUGAACUAUGCCUGAAUAGGGUGAAGCCAGCGGAAACACUGGUGGAAGCUCGUAGCGAUUCUGACGUGCAAAUCGAUCGUCGAAUUUGGGUAUAGCGGCGAAAGACUAAUCGAACCAUCUAGUAGCUGGUUCCCUCCGAAGUUUCCCUCAGGAUAGCUGGAGUUCAUACAUGCAGUUUUAUCAGGUAAAGCGAAUGAUUA
rnacentral:rRNA from 1 species